GUCUAUUUUCCUUAAAAUAAAGCUUCUACCUCUAAAAGACAUGAAUUAAAGGAGGAAGAUGGAACUCUAGCAAAAAAAAAAAACAACCCUAAAGGGUCAUAUUCUGCUGCAGGGAACAGCUGCAGUAGUACCCAGAGUGGUAACCAUGGCAACCUGAGGCCCUUGAGGCCGCAUAUUGUUUGCUCAGCCAGAAUCUCUUUUAAGUGCCAGCAGGAAUCGGAAGUGGGGAGACUUCAUAAAGAGCCAGCCAAUCCAUCAGCCAAUGCUUACUCUAGAGACAAUGAAGUUCCACUUGUUUUCAGGACACACCUCUUUCUUGGUUCUUCUCUUUUGCUGGAUCUUCAUUCAGAAAACAAUGAGAUUGCCACAGCUACCCUGCUUUCAGCAACCAACUUUCUGAUCAGUCAGCAGCCAUGAACAAUGAGGUAAGACUAUCAUCAAAAAGGCAUAACUGGAUAAAGGCUCAGAGGAUAGCAUUUUUUUUAGCAAUAAAGCAUUUUUAAUUAAGA